GACGAACGCUGGCGGCGUGCUUAACACAUGCAAGUCGAACGGUAAGGCCCUUCGGGGUACACGAGUGGCGAACGGGUGAGUAACACGUGGGUGAUCUGCCCUGCACUUCGGGAUAAGCCUGGGAAACUGGGUCUAAUACCGGAUAGGACUCCUGGCUUCAUGGUUGGGGGUGGAAAGCUUUUGCGGUGUGGGAUGGGCCCGCGGCCUAUCAGCUUGUUGGUGGGGUAAUGGCCUACCAAGGCGACGACGGGUAGCCGGCCUGAGAGGGUGACCGGACACACUAGGACUGAGAUACGGCCCAGACUCCUACGGGAGGAAGCAGUGGGGAAUAUUGCACAAUGGGCGCAAGCCUGAUGCAGCGACGCCGCGUGAGGGAUGACGGCCUUCGGGUCGUAAACCUCUUUCAGCUAUGACGAAGCGCAAGUGACGGUAGUAGCAGAAGAAGGACCGGCCAACUACGUGCCAGCCGCCGCGGUAA
rnacentral:rRNA from 1 species